GCAUCACAGUAUUUUUUUAUCUGAAAAGCAGCCAGCAUUUUAGCUAAUGGGUGACUUUUUGGGAUAAUCAUUGGAAAGUUCAGGUUAAAAUAAGCUCCUGUAAUAGUCAGAGCCAGAUUAAACUGGCCGGAGCUGUAAAGCGAGAAAGCUGGUGAUACGGAUCGAGCAGCCGCACUCCGUGUGAACUCGCCUUCACUGCCCAGGGCUCAGUCUGACCUGAUAAAGUAUUUCAACACUCUCAAGUAUGUAUGUUGAGAAGUAGCGCGCACAGAGACCUAUUAGGUUGCCGCUUCGGUCGCCUACAUAGUAGUCCAGUCCAAACCAGUUCUUGUUUAUCAUACAGUGGCCACCCUUGUAUCACCACCAGGGAGUGAACAGAAUGACUGUAGAUCUGAACACAGUGUCAUUGUAUUAUACAAGGUCAAAGUUGUCAAAACUAAAUAUUUAUUGUUGGCUUUUUGUUAGUUAGAUGAUGAAUCAUGUAUGAAGGCUUGGGUGUGAGAAUAAAGCACUGGUUGAGCUUGAUAACACAUGGAUUUAUGAUGAUAUUCAUAAUUAUGCCUUCUAGAUAUGACUCAGUAAUCUCCUUCAUUGUAUAUAGGAUUUUCAACUUAUUUUAUACACAAGGUAAAAAGCCAUAGAAGUUGAGGCACAAUUUAACACAAAUUACACUAAACAGAAAUAAUGUAAAAUGUUAGAAGUUUGUUUGAAUCCCUAACUAUAAAGCUUGUCUAAGUAAACAUUACUAAAAGUGAUAUUAUUUGUCAUAGGUUAAUACUUUGAUCAGAGACCUUCUGAAGACUUUGACAGCCACACAGCCAAUGGCGUCGCAGUGCGUAUGCAAAAGGGGCGGGGCUUGCACCGCUGACUCAGCUGAAAUUCGGGGUGUCGUGUGUCAGGAUCGACCGGGCAGAACGGUCACAGUCGGAUAAUCCCUAACCCGCGAGGCAUGUUACCCUCUUUAGAAACCUGUCUCGACUAAUGGUGUGUACAGCAGGUUAAAUCCUCACCGGAGAAAACAGAUGACGCAGGCUGAUCAUUUUUCUCAGGUUAAUCCCGGACUGAAGUAAACACCUGAACACACACAGACAGUCGCACGCUUUGUCAAGUUUAACAUGUGUGGAGAAAUGUUGUAGCUGUCAGAAAAAGCCCCUGAGCAAAGAUUUUGUCUCAUACCGCGGGCUUUUUUGUUUGAUGGAAAUAUGAACGGCGGUGAGUUUGGUUGUUGGGAAAAGUCAAAACAGUAAACAUUAUUAACUACUGUCUAUAAUACAUUAUGUCAUUUUAUUUACAUUAUUAAUUACUUUUCUGUUUCAAAACAAUGUAUUGCUUUAAACUGCUUAUUAUUUAUUAAUUAGGCUACUGAUUAAUUAAUAAUUACUUUUCAGACAAAACAAUUAAUUAAUAAUUUGUAUGCCAACAUUUUGCUGUCGUAAAAUCAUUUCGCUCUUAUAUUUGUUUUACUGUCUCUUGUGACAACUUAUUUCAUUUAUUACAUAUGUAUUUGCCAGACAAACAAACUGUAAACCCAUUCAAGCUAUUUUUGUGGCAGUUUUUCAAUUCGAAGGCUGCAGCCUGCGGAGGUCGCAUAUGCAGGCUGCAUACGUCAUCAAGCCUGGUUUAUUUAAUUUAACUGAGCAUUACAUCAUAAAAUCAUAAACAUAUUACAACAAUUUACAAUUAACUAAAAUAAUAGUCAACUUUAAAAUUGUUAAUAUACUGAAAUAAGACAGUCUCGAUGACGUAUGCAGCCUAGAAAAGCGACCUUCGGAGUCUGCAGCCUUCGGAUUGAGCAACGGCCUGUGUUCCCGGGGAAAGGGGCGGGGCUUGUACCACUGACUGACUCAGCUUAAAUUAAAUAAAUGUCCAAAUUCUAGACCGGUGUGAUGUCAUGAUGUCAACUUUUUUUUUUAAAUAUUUUAUUUUUUACCUUUGGAGUUUAACACCCAACUAUAAAAUGUAAUUUGACACAAAUUUCCCGUCACAAACCUGAAGCCACGUUUACGCGGCAUUUACAGCAGAGACGUUAUGAGGUGAAGAAGAGAUCCAGGUUUCUCCAGAGGAGAAUUAGGUUAGUGGUCCACGUACCUCUCUCGGGAUCAAACAUCUGCUUCAGCUGAGCUGACCGCAAAGCUGAAGAGGAAAAUGUGACGCGCGUUCCUACCGCCCAUCAGGCUUUUCUUUAACUUUUGAGGGCCUUGCCCGAAAAAAUACGACUGCGUGUGCAGAAACAACGAAAGCUGUGUUCGGGGAGCAUCUGGUCCUUAGAUGUCCUGUGUGCUGGAAUGCCAAGAGAAACGGAAAAGAAGUUUCCUCUGUGGAGAAGUCGAAGCAUGUGUGGCUGUGUGCUAACAUUUGCAAAAGUAGAAACGUAGGAAUGAAGUCAAAUUUGUAUUUCAUACUAGGGCUGGAAAUGUAAAUGCUGACUGUGAAGAAGUUACACAACGAAGCCGUCAAAGUUAAAGGUCGCGUUAAAAAUCACGACAGCCUCAGAAAACAUAACAGUCACUUAUCCAGUCUGCAAUUUUGCAUAUAAAACAUAACAGUUGGUAAAGAAAAACCCUUUCUGUAGAAAAUGGCGUGUUUAUUCAAUGGACCAGGGCAAAAAACAAUCAAACAUGAUUUUUUGCUGUGUGACAUCAUAUACCAACAAAGUUAUGGUAAAAAAGUUAGGAAUACAAAACUAUGUGGAAACACACAAAGGAUAUUGCACCUAUUGACUUAGUAGCUUAAUACCCAUUUUAUAAUUCAUUCCUGCAAUAGUAAAGUGGAAGCCAUUUUGUUUAGCUGUGGACCUGAAGAGCAACUUCUCUUCCUAUGCAGUCUGCAUUAAUAAACAAUGUUUAGUUCUUUAUGACGACUAACAAUCUCUGGAAGUGCAAGUUAAAGAAUGUUUUUUUCUAAAUAAAA